GCGCGAAAACUUUACAAUGCUGGCAACAGCGAUAAGGGAACCUCGAGUGCCAGGUUACAAAUCUGGCUGUCGAGAUGCCUAAAAAGCAUUUCAUAGCAAGGGCCGGGCAAGACCGGUGCCAGCCGCCGCGGUAACACCGGCGGCUCGAGUGGUAACCGUUAUUAUUGGGUCUAAAGGGUCUGUAGCCGGCCGGAUAAGUCUCUUGGGAAAUCUGGCAGCUUAACUGUCAGGCUUUCAGGAGAUACUGUUCGGCUCGAGGCCGGGAGAGGUGAGAGGUACUUCAGGGGUAGGGGUGAAAUCUUGUAAUCCUUGAAGGACCACCAGUGGCGAAGGCGCCUUUCUGGACUGUGUCUGACACUGAGAUGCGAAAGCUAGGGUAGCAAACG
rnacentral:rRNA from 1 species